rnacentral:rRNA from 1 species
AUUGAACGCUGGCGGCAUGCCUUACACAUGCAAGUCGAACGGGGGUAGCAAUACCCUAGUGGCGAACGGGGGAGUAAAGCACCGAAACGUACCAAGUUGGGGGGGAUAACGUAGCGAAGGUAAGGCUAAUACCGCAUCGGAACUGAGGGGGAAAGCGGGGGAUCGCAAGACCUCGCGCAAUUGGAGCGGCCGAUGUCGGAUUGGCUAGUUGGUAGGGUAAAAGCCUACCAAGGCGACGAUCCUUAGCUGGUCUGAGAGGACGACCAGCCACACUGGGACUGAGACACGGCCCAGACUCCUACGGGAGGCAGCAGUGGGGAAUUUUGGACAAUGGGCGAAAGCCUGAUCCAGCCAUGCCGCGUGAGUGAAGAAGGCCUUCGGGUUGUAAAGCUCUUUCGGACAGAAAGAAAUCGCACGGGUAAAUAAUCCGUGUGGAUGACGGUACUGUAAGAAGAAGCACCUGCUAACUACGUGCCAGCCGCCGCCGUAA